rnacentral:rRNA from 1 species
GACGAACGCUAGCGACGUGCCUAAGGUAUGCAAGUCGAGCGGACCCGCAAGGGUUAGCGGCGAACGGUUGAGUAACACGUAGACAACCUGCCUCGAAGUGGGGGACAACAGCGGGAAACUGCUGCUAAUACCGCAUGUGGCGGCCCGGAGCCUUCCGGGUUGGCUAAAGGAUUUAUUCGCUUCGAGAUGGGUCUGCGGCCUAUCAGCUUGUUGGUGGGGUAACGGCCUACCAAGGCGACGACGGGUAGCUGGUCUGAGAGGAUGAUCAGCCAGACGGGGACUGAGACACGGCCCCGACUCCUUCGGGAGGCAGCAAUGAGGAAUAUUGCGCAAUGGGCGAAAGCCUGACGCAGCGACGUCGCGUGGGUGAGGAAGUCCUUC